CCUACGGGAGGCUGCAGUGGGGAAUAUUGCGCAAUGGGCGAAAGCCUGACGCAGCGACGCCGCGUGAGGGAUGAAGGUCUUCGGAUCGUAAACCUCUGUCAGCAGGGAAGCACGGGCACUGUGCUAAUCAGCAGUGAAUUGACGGUACCUGCAAAGGAAGCACCGGCUAACUCCGUGCCAAAAGCCGCGGUAAUACCGAGGGUGCGCGCGUUAAUUGGAAUUACUGGGCGGAAAGCGCUCGUAGGCGGUAUGGCAAGUCAAGGGUGAAAUACCAGCGCGCAACGUGGGAACUGCCGUUGAAACUGGCAAACUGGAGUGUGUGAGAGGAUAGUGGAAUUCCAGGUGUAGGAGUGAAAUCCGUAGAUAUCUGGAGGAACAUCAGUGGCGAAGGCGACUAUCUGGCACAUAACUGACGCUGAGGAGCGAAAGCGUGGGUAGCAAACAGGAUUAGAUACCCGAGUAGUC
rnacentral:rRNA from 1 species